rnacentral:tRNA from 1 species
GUUAAUGUAGCUUAAAAUAAAGCAAAGCACUGAAAAUGCUUAGAUGAGCAAUACUGCCCCAUAAACA